rnacentral:rRNA from 1 species
GGGGAAGACUUCACAUGGACGAAGUCUGACGGAGCAACGCCGCGUGAGUGAUGAAGGUUUUCGGAUCGUAAAACUCUGUUGUUAGGGAAGAACAAGUACCGUUCGAAUAGGGCGGUACCUUGACGGUACCUAACCAGAAAGCCACGGCUAACUACGUGCCAGCAGCCGCGGUAAUACGUAGGUGGCAAGCGUUGUCCGGAAUUAUUGGGCGUAAAGCGCGCGCAGGCGGUUUCUUAAGUCUGAUGUGAAAGCCCCCGGCUCAACCGGGGAGGGUCAUUGGAAACUGGGGAACUUGAGUGCAGAAGAGGAGAGUGGAAUUCCACGUGUAGCGGUGAAAUGCGUAGAGAUGUGGAGGAACACCAGUGGCGAAGGCGACUCUCUGGUCUGUAACUGACGCUGAGGCGCGAAAGCGUGGGGAGCGAACAGGAUUAGAUACCCUGGUAGUCCACGCCGUAAACGAUGAGUGCUAAGUGUUAGAGGGUUUCCGCCCUUUAUGCUGCACCAAACGCAUUAAGCACUCCGCCUGGGGAGUACGGUCGCAAGACUGAAACUCAUAGGAAUUGACGGGGGCCCGCACAAGCGGUGGAGCAUGUGGUUUAAUUCGAAGCAACGCGAAGAACCUUACCAGGUCUUGACAUCCUCUGACAACCCUAGAGAUAGGGCUUCCCUUCGUGGGCAGACUGACAUGUGGUGCAUGGUUG